AACGUAGGACGCAAGCGUUAUCCGGAGUUACUGGGCGUAAAGCGCGGGCAGGCGGCCUCGCAAGUCUGAUGUGAAAGCACGCUGCUCAACAGAGUGAUGCCAUUGGAAACUACGAGGCUGGAGUCUGGCAGAGGUAGGCGGAAUUCCGGGUGGAGUGGUGAAAUGCGUAGAGAUCCGGAGGAACACCAGAGGCGAAGGCGGCCUACUGGGCCAGUACUGACGCUGAGCCGCGAAAGCUAGGGGAGCGAACGGG
rnacentral:rRNA from 1 species